rnacentral:rRNA from 1 species
GAUGAACGCUGGCGGCGUGCCUAAUACAUGCAAGUCGAGCGAACGGACGAGAAGCUUGCUUCUCUGAUGUUAGCGGCGGACGGGUGAGUAACACGUGGAUAACCUACCUAUAAGACUGGGAUAACUUCGGGAAACCGGAGCUAAUACCGGAUGAUAUUUUGAACCGCAUGGUUCAAAAGUGAAAGACGGUCUUGCUGUCACUUAUAGAUGGAUCCGCGCUGCAUUAGCUAGUUGGUAAGGUAACGGCUUACCAAGGCAACGAUGCAUAGCCGACCUGAGAGGGUGAUCGGCCACACUGGAACUGAGACACGGGCCAGACUCCUACGGGAGGCAGCAGUAGGGAAUCUUCCGCAAUGGGCGAAAGCCUGACGGAGCAACGCCGCGUGAGUGAUGAAGGUCUUCGGAUCGUAAAACUCUGUUAUUAGGGAAGAACAUAUGUGUAAGUAACUGUGCACAUCUUGACGGUACCUAAUCAGAAAGCCACGGCUAACUACGUG